rnacentral:rRNA from 1 species
AUGGGCGCAAGCCUGAUGCAGCCAUGCCGCGUGUGUGAAGAAGGCCUUCGGGUUGUAAAGCACUUUCAGAUCGUGAGGAAGGUAGUGUAGUUAAUAGCUGCAUUAUUUGACGUUAGCGACAGAAGAAGCACCGGCUAACUCCGUGCCAGCAGCCGCGGUAAUACGGAGGGUGCGAGCGUUAAUCGGAAUUACUGGGCGUAAAGCGCAUGCAGGUGGUUUGUUAAGUCAGAUGUGAAAGCCCGGGGCUCAACCUCGGAAUUGCAUUUGAAACUGGCAGACUAGAGUACUGUAGAGGGGGGUAGAAUUUCAGGUGUAGCGGUGAAAUGCGUAGAGAUCUGAAGGAAUACCGGUGGCGAAGGCGGCCCCCUGGACAGAUACUGACACUCAGAUGCGAAAGCGUGGGGAGCAAACAGGAUUAGAUACCCUGGUAGUCCACGCCGUAAACGAUGUCUACUUGGAGGUUGUGGCCUUGAGCCGUGGCUUUCGGAGCUAACGCGUUAAGUAGACCGCCUGG